rnacentral:lncRNA from 1 species
AAAAUAAAUAGGCUUUAGGAUAAUUUGCCUUAGAUAAUAGCAAUGUCGUAUACUAUCAUAUGAUAUAAUAAUAUUAGGCCUUAGAAACAGGCCAAAUAAGUUUUGAAGUUAUAUUAAAAAUAAACAUAAACCUCCAUGUCUUUUAUUAAUAGUUGUACGACCACAUAAGUAGCUAUUUUCAUAGAAAACACGAUAUGCCCCUGCCGUCAUUAAGAAAAAUCACAAGACUUACUAAUUGAGUUCAAAACUAGUUUGUAUUCUUUCUAGCUACCUCACCGGGUUUAAAUGAUCUAAACUUUCCGAGUACCAGUCCGUUCUCGCUCGUGCAUGCUUGCAGCACGCAGUGCUUCGGGUUCCUCGUGGGCGAUGGCGCGGGCUUCACGCGUCUCGGUCCGCGGCCCCUCGGCUGCCGCCCUGAUCACAGGAGCAUUGAUCUGAUUCUGGUUUCCGGCCCGCGCAGCCCGGCCCGGGAGGGGAGCGGGCGCUGGUCUGCGCAGCGCAGAGAGAUUGCAGCUUCGGAAAUCCGAGCCCAGCCGGGUUCCGGGGCGCCGCCCCCCGGAGCAGCAGCUCUGUAUCCCGGGCUGCGCAGCCGCGCGCUCCGGCGGCUCUGGGGCGCGGGGACCUGGAGGACGGGUUCAUUUUCCUUAGCGAGAGCCCCGGAGUGAAGCCUGCGACGCGCUGACCUGAGCUCUCCUCUGCCCCGAGGUAGCCCGCGGGCGCGUCGCCGUCCGGAUCCGCUCUUCUGUUCCCGACUGCGAGCCUGGUUCCGGGCGCAGGUGAUAGGAUGGGCAUUCCUGCCUCGGCCUCCGCCCGCGGUUAGACAGGGCCAGGACGCGUACCCCGUCCCCGCCCCUGCCCCUCGGGCCCCGCCAGCAGCGGGGACAGGACGGGGACGGGGACGGCGGAGCCGCGGCGAGCGCACUCGGGGCUCGGCUCGGGACGUGGCGGGAACCCGGCCCGCGGGGCCGCAUCGGUGCGCAGCGGGUACGCACAGGGCGCUGGGCGCUGGGCGCUGGGCGCUGGUCCCGGGUGCCGGCCGGGUCGGGUCGGGUCGGUCCGGAGCGCGCACCGCUGCCUUCCUCGCGAGGGGGGCGCCGGGCUCCCGCUUCUCCGCGCCGGUUGCUGGGCUCGCCACCGGCCGCCCCUAGGGUUCCCGCGGGGCCUUCUGGGCACCACGACCUCGCCUUACGCGUCCGGGCGCAAGCCCCGUCCGAGGCCGCAGAGUCGGUGCCGUCUCCGGAGCUGCGCACACAGCGCACUGGGCCGAUCCGCCCUCCGGGACCGAGCCCUUGGCCCGGGGACCGUGCAGGCCCGGGGCCCUGGAGGCCGAGGAUCCAGGAGAGUUCACCUAGAAGGUGAAGUGCGGACCCGCCUCGGGAGCCGCGACCCGAGGGAAGGGACCCGCGGCUUCUGGCGCGCAGCAUCCGACUCGAAAUCCGCCUCCAGGGCGCCCCUGGCAGGCGCCUCGCUGUACCGGCCUAGCAGGGCCGCAGCCGGGGACGCCGCCCGGGCUGGGGUGGGGUCGGUUCCUCCGCGCUUUGGGGCUGCGCUCCGGUCCGGCCCCUGCCCAGCAUCGCCGAGUUCGUUUUCUAAAAAGGAGUUUUGGAAGCUCGGAUGGUCCCAUUUUGAAGCAAGGAAAGAGAGUCAAUCAGAGUUUCUUCGUAAGCCUGUCUUAAAUAGCAGCACGUUUCUACUGGAGACUUGAAAAGCUGAGCCUUUCCAAGCUCCAUGUCUGUGCUGUCCACUGAGAAAGAAAAUCCAGGAGACAGGUUCCUAAAGGAAGACCCGGCCAUGAGGACGCGCUCCCCACCCGGCCCGACCCGGAGCCCGCGCUCUCCAGCUUCGCCGCCUCCUCGCGCGGCGGCGGCGCAACGCCCUGCCCGACAUCCUGGGCGCGGACGCCAGCGCCUGCGAGGAGCUGCCGCCGCCGCGGAGCCUCUCGGUGAAGGAAGAUGUGCAACAGAAGAGCGAAGCAGCAGCACGAGACCGGUUGGGAAAUCCCAGAGAGGAAGAGAAAUGAAGCCGCCUCGUUUGUCAGAGGCGCACUCAGGCGCGUGGAGAGGCGGAGGGGCUGUGUUUCCCAUGAUGUGUGGCGUGGCGGUAACCAUGGAAACGUGCGUGACUCCCGUGACUCGCCGUGACUGUUCACUUGGACCGCAAGUAUGAUGUCGAAAGUAGGCCAUUAAAAGGCAAAGUACGCCCCACUGCAUCCAAGAAAAAUGUUAAGAAUGCAGGAUCACUAAUACAUAGUAUUGUCUGUAAGCCCCGCAAAAUCUGCUGUUCUCUUUUGGAUUUAUUUAGCCAGCUGUGUGUUUAAUUCCACUUUUAGGGUGAUUUUUGUGUUUCUUGUCAAGUAUACAUUCAUUUAAACUUUGUAGAAUUUGUAGGAAAUAUAUUUUUGAUGAAAAGGAGGAAUAAUAAUAGAAUAGUCAGAAUUACAUGGGUACAGUGUCUUUAUUUUUAAUCAGUAUUGCGCCAGAGUUUUUCCAAACCACAAAAAAGAUUUUAAAAUAUUGUAAAAGUUUAACAACAUAAACAUCUCUGGGAUAUUUUUGUCUGAUAUAUUUUGCUUCUAAUCUGUGUAUACUGUGAUUUUUGAUGUGGACCCUUGGAAUGUAACCUUUGUGACAAACUAUUUCUGUGGAACAUGCCUUUCAAACGGAUUUCACGACCUCCCUUCACUGUGUGUGCGCAUGUGUCUUAUUGUAAUGUGAAAUAUACAAAACAAUUUUUAAUUGCUUCACAUUGCUUUUUCUCAUGUUUUGUAUAUGUACGAGGUAUAUCUAAAGUGAUAUCCUCAGGAAUACAUACCUUAAUUUUUAUAUCUUUCCUAGAGUAGCUAACAUAGCAGUAAACACUUUAAAAUUUGGUCAAUAAUGUAGGCCCAAGGAGAAAAAUACACACUUUUAAUAUAUGUUUAAGUAUAUAUUUUGAAAGGAACAAAAAUAAACCAAGGCUUUAGAGAAUUUGGGUUUAUUAGAAAUUUUAGAAAAAUACUAGAAUUCUGAAUUUUAAAAAAUUUGAAUAAUUAAUGUAUUUUCACUUUCACACAUAUGUGCAUGUGGUUUUAAAAAAUUUGAUUGUUGGCUUAGGCCACAUCUGUAUACACUGACCAAAUAAACUCUUUCACUAGAGAAAUUGUUUACUGUUACAGAUCUUCAUUUUAUCUUCUGAAGUAUGCCAGGUGAAAAACGGUGACCGUUUUAAAAGGAUGGCAUUAAUAGUCUGCAAUCUAAAUCACCUCCGGCUCAUUAUUUUAUUGACAAAGACUCCCCUUAUAUCUUAUACAUCCCAGAGGAACAGAUUUCAAAUAACUUGAUUGUUUUAAGUUCUCAAAUAUAAAUUUUCCUGUGUGAAAUAAAAGUAUUUUGGCCUAGCAUUACCUUAACAUCCAACAAAAUGCUUUGCGGGCACUGGAAUUCUGCUUCUGCAGCUGCUCCGGACGUAAGCUGAGCAGUCAGUAUGGGGCGGAAGGAGAGCCCUGCCUUUGGCCGGCCCUGGCAGGGGAGGCUUUGCCCCUGG